CCUACGGGGGGCAGCAGUAGGGAAUAUUGGGCAAUGGCCGAGAGGCUGACCCAGCCAUGCCGCGUGCAGGAAGAAGGCCUUCUGGGUUGUAAACUGCUUUUAUCAGGGAAGAAAAUACCCUUGCGAGGGGAACUGACGGUACCUGAUGAAUAAGCACCGGCUAACUCCGUGCCAGCAGCCGCGGUAAUACGGAGGGUGCAAGCGUUGUCCGGAUUUAUUGGGUUUAAAGGGUGCGUAGGCGGCCCAUUAAGUCAGUGGUGAAAUCCCGUGGCUCAACCAUGGAACUGCCAUUGAUACUGGUGGGCUUGAGUAAAGUCGAGGCAGGCGGAACUGGUGGUGUAGCGGUGAAAUGCAUAGAUACCACCAAGAACCCCGAUUGCGAAGGCAGCUUGCUGGGCUUUAACUGACGCUGAGGCACGAAAGCGUGGGGAGCGAACAGG
rnacentral:rRNA from 1 species